GGGUUGUGAGGUUAAGCGACUAAGCGUACACGGUGGAUGCCCUGGCAGUCAGAGGCGAUGAAGGACGUGCUAAUCUGCGAUAAGCGUCGGUAAGGUGAUAUGAACCGUUAUAACCGGCGAUUUCCGAAUGGGGAAACCCAGUGUGUUUCGACACACUAUCAUUAACUGAAUCCAUAGGUUAAUGAGGCGAACCGGGGGAACUGAAACAUCUAAGUACCCCGAGGAAAAGAAAUCAACCGAGAUUCCCCCAGUAGCGGCGAGCGAACGGGGAGCAGCCCAGAGCCUGAAUCAGUGUGUGUGUUAGUGGAAGCGUCUGGAAAGGCGCGCGAUACAGGGUGACAGCCCCGUACACAAAAAUGCACAUGCUGUGAGCUCGAUGAGUAGGGCGGGACACGUGGUAUCCUGUCUGAAUAUGGGGGGACCAUCCUCCAAGGCUAAAUACUCCUGACUGACCGAUAGUGAACCAGUACCGUGAGGGAAAGGCGAAAAGAACCCCGGCGAGGGGAGUGAAAAAGAACCUGAAACCGUGUACGUACAAGCAGUGGGAGCACGCUUCGGCGUGUGACUGCGUACCUUUUGUAUAAUGGGUCAGCGACUUAUAUUCUGUAGCAAGGUUAACCGAAUAGGGGAGCCGAAGGGAAACCGAGUCUUAACUGGGCGUUAAGUUGCAGGGUAUAGACCCGAAACCCGGUGAUCUAGCCAUGGGCAGGUUGAAGGUUGGGUAACACUAACUGGAGGACCGAACCGACUAAUGUUGAAAAAUUAGCGGAUGACUUGUGGCUGGGGGUGAAAGGCCAAUCAAACCGGGAGAUAGCUGGUUCUCCCCGAAAGCUAUUUAGGUAGCGCCUCGUGAAUUCAUCUCCGGGGGUAGAGCACUGUUUCGGCAAGGGGGUCAUCCCGACUUACCAACCCGAUGCAAACUGCGAAUACCGGAGAAUGUUAUCACGGGAGACACACGGCGGGUGCUAACGUCCGUCGUGAAGAGGGAAACAACCCAGACCGCCAGCUAAGGUCCCAAAGUCAUGGUUAAGUGGGAAACGAUGUGGGAAGGCCCAGACAGCCAGGAUGUUGGCUUAGAAGCAGCCAUCAUUUAAAGAAAGCGUAAUAGCUCACUGGUCGAGUCGGCCUGCGCGGAAGAUGUAACGGGGCUAAACCAUGCACCGAAGCUGCGGCAGCGACGCUUAUGCGUUGUUGGGUAGGGGAGCGUUCUGUAAGCCUGUGAAGGUGUGCUGUGAGGCAUGCUGGAGGUAUCAGAAGUGCGAAUGCUGACAUAAGUAACGAUAAAGCGGGUGAAAAGCCCGCUCGCCGGAAGACCAAGGGUUCCUGUCCAACGUUAAUCGGGGCAGGGUGAGUCGACCCCUAAGGCGAGGCCGAAAGGCGUAGUCGAUGGGAAACAGGUUAAUAUUCCUGUACUUGGUGUUACUGCGAAGGGGGGACGGAGAAGGCUAUGUUGGCCGGGCGACGGUUGUCCCGGUUUAAGCGUGUAGGCUGGUUUUCCAGGCAAAUCCGGAAAAUCAAGGCUGAGGCGUGAUGACGAGGCACUACGGUGCUGAAGCAACAAAUGCCCUGCUUCCAGGAAAAGCCUCUAAGCAUCAGGUAACAUCAAAUCGUACCCCAAACCGACACAGGUGGUCAGGUAGAGAAUACCAAGGCGCUUGAGAGAACUCGGGUGAAGGAACUAGGCAAAAUGGUGCCGUAACUUCGGGAGAAGGCACGCUGAUAUGUAGGUGAAGCGACUUGCUCGUGGAGCUGAAAUCAGUCGAAGAUACCAGCUGGCUGCAACUGUUUAUUAAAAACACAGCACUGUGCAAACACGAAAGUGGACGUAUACGGUGUGACGCCUGCCCGGUGCCGGAAGGUUAAUUGAUGGGGUUAGCGGUAACGCGAAGCUCUUGAUCGAAGCCCCGGUAAACGGCGGCCGUAACUAUAACGGUCCUAAGGUAGCGAAAUUCCUUGUCGGGUAAGUUCCGACCUGCACGAAUGGCGUAAUGAUGGCCAGGCUGUCUCCACCCGAGACUCAGUGAAAUUGAACUCGCUGUGAAGAUGCAGUGUACCCGCGGCAAGACGGAAAGACCCCGUGAACCUUUACUAUAGCUUGACACUGAACAUUGAGCCUUGAUGUGUAGGAUAGGUGGGAGGCUUUGAAGUGUGGACGCCAGUCUGCAUGGAGCCGACCUUGAAAUACCACCCUUUAAUGUUUGAUGUUCUAACGUUGACCCGUAAUCCGGGUUGCGGACAGUGUCUGGUGGGUAGUUUGACUGGGGCGGUCUCCUCCUAAAGAGUAACGGAGGAGCACGAAGGUUGGCUAAUCCUGGUCGGACAUCAGGAGGUUAGUGCAAUGGCAUAAGCCAGCUUGACUGCGAGCGUGACGGCGCGAGCAGGUGCGAAAGCAGGUCAUAGUGAUCCGGUGGUUCUGAAUGGAAGGGCCAUCGCUCAACGGAUAAAAGGUACUCCGGGGAUAACAGGCUGAUACCGCCCAAGAGUUCAUAUCGACGGCGGUGUUUGGCACCUCGAUGUCGGCUCAUCACAUCCUGGGGCUGAAGUAGGUCCCAAGGGUAUGGCUGUUCGCCAUUUAAAGUGGUACGCGAGCUGGGUUUAGAACGUCGUGAGACAGUUCGGUCCCUAUCUGCCGUGGGCGCUGGAGAACUGAGGGGGGCUGCUCCUAGUACGAGAGGACCGGAGUGGACGCAUCACUGGUGUUCGGGUUGUCAUGCCAAUGGCACUGCCCGGUAGCUAAAUGCGGAAGAGAUAAGUGCUGAAAGCAUCUAAGCACGAAACUUGCCCCGAGAUGAGUUCUCCCUGACUCCUUGAGAGUCCUGAAGGAACGUUGAAGACGACGACGUUGAUAGGCCGGGUGUGUAAGCGCAGCGAUGCGUUGAGCUAACCGGUACUAAUGAACCGUGAGGCUUAACCUUACAACGCCGAAG
rnacentral:rRNA from 1 species